UCCCUGGUGGCUUUGUGGUAAAGAAUCUGCCUGUAGUGCAGGAGACACAGGUUCAAUCCCUGGAUUGGGAA
rnacentral:tRNA from 1 species